rnacentral:lncRNA from 1 species
GGGCUGCCGUCUAUGGGGUCGCACAGAGUCGGACACCACUGAAGCGACAGGAGCAGCAGCAGCAGUGUGUAUCUAUUAAUCCCAAACUCUUUUCUGAGUGUUUAUUAUAUGCCAUGUAUUGCCUAAGUAGUCACUCAUGUAAUUUUUAUGACAACCAAUGAGUUAGAAGCUAAGGAAAUGGCACCCCACUCCAGUACUCUUGCCUGGAGAAUCCCAUGGAGNNNNNNNNNNNNNNNNNNNNNNNNNNNNNNNNNNCAAAGAGUCAGACACGACUGAGCAACUUCACUUUCACUUUCACUUUCACUGCCUCCACUUUACAGAUGGGAAGACUGGCAUUUCAAGAGCUUCUGGCAAAUCUCAGAAGUCCUGACCUGCCCACAUCUAAACCAUUCAGUGCCAAUGGAGGCAGAAUUACCGUGACCAACUGGGGUGGGGAAGAUCACCCUCCACCGGACAUUGGGAAAUCAAUCACAAUGCAUCCUGCCCUACUAUUUAGAAAGAUGACACUGCUGCAGCCUUGUGGCGAAGAGUCACCAUGGCACCGUGGGGCAUGUCCUUUCCCACUUUCCAGAGCUGCCUCAUAGGAAUAGCAUGAAGUGGAAGCAGGAGAAAGACUAGGAGGAAAAAAAAAAAAAAAACCUGCGUUCUUUUAGUGCAUUUAAGUUUUGGUAAUUUGCAAUUUUCACCAACCAAUUAAGUAUUUACCCUCACAGUCACAUAAGGUGGGAAACAGAAAAGAAUAAAGCCAACUCUAACUCUACAGCACUGCAUUUCUGGAACUGUUCUGUACAUUAGAGUGGUCAGCCCUAUGAAUCAGACCCUAAUGUCCAGUUUUAACCUUUAGGAUGACAUAUUUUUAAAGAACAAACCUUGUAUUUCUGCUGGCUUAAAACCAAGCAUAUUUGGGAAAGAAGAAAAAAAUUCAUAAGAGACCAAAAAAAGAUUUCACAAAUUAUUUCUUAAAUACACAUGAUGACACCAUGCAGAACUCAAAGUAAAUUAAACUGCACUGUAUACA